rnacentral:rRNA from 1 species
UACGGAGGGUGCAAGCGUUAUCCGGAUUCACUGGGUUUAAAGGGUGCGUAGGUGGGUUGGUAAGUCAGUGGUGAAAUCCCCGAGCUUAACUUGGGAACUGCCAUUGAUACUAUCAGUCUUGAAUACCGUGGAGGUCAGUUGAAUAUGUCAUGUAGCGGUGAAAUGCUUAGAUAUGACAUAGAACACCAAUUGCGAAGGCAGCUGGCUACACGAAUAUUGACACUGAGGCACGAAAGCGUGGGGAUCAAACAGG